rnacentral:rRNA from 1 species
UGACGAAGGGGGCUAGCGUUGCUCGGAAUUACUGGGCGUAAAGCGCACGGUAGGCGGUCUUUUAAGUCGGGGGUGAAAUCCUGGAGCUCAACUCCAGAACUGCCUUCGAUACUGAAGACUUGAGUCCGGGAGAGGUGAGUGGAACUGCGAGUGUAGAGGUGAAAUUCGUAGAUAUUCGCAAGAACACCAGUGGCGGAAGGCGGCUCACUGGCCCGGUACUGACGCUGAGGUGCGAAAGCGUGGGGA